AUAAGCUGAGUUUUGAAUGAUAGAGCAUUAAAUAAAUAGAGCAUGGGAAGAACCAUGUAGAAUUUUAGGAAAGAACUAAGUCCCAUCAUUAUCUUCAGUUCAUUUUUUCUUAGAAAUACGAUGUGUAAUGUUAUGACAUAAAAACCAAACUAGUAAAAGUAUUUGCAGAAAUAAGAUCAUUUAAGUUUUCAGUGACCAAGACUUUCCCAAAUUAGGCAAAGCCCAGAAAUCACGAAAAGUACUGAUAACGCCAGUACCUACAGUUUCUGUGUAGCAGAGGAUCGUCACCACAGCAGCGCAUGAGGAAGGAGAUAGAUAGACAGUGAAGUGCUGCCGGCCUCAGAAUCACGGAGAAGACCAAUAGCUGCUACAGUGGGGUUUUAAAAAGUGUGACACGAAAUGAGACAGACAUAGACACACAAAUGCCGCGUGACUGCACUCCUAUGAGAGCCCUUCAUCGGUCCAGCUAAGAACACAGAGAGGAUUGGCUGAUGCAGAGAACAGGAGGGAAGAAAGUGACUAUUUCAUGCCUCAAACUUGUGGUUCCAUUUCCGGUUCGGCUCGGGAACGGGGUGCUGGAGAGCUGUGGACACCCUAGAUGGCAGCGAGCUUUAUACGUACGGUGGUUAAGAUGGUAACUGCUGUGAUAUGUGUCUCGUCCCACGAUUAAAGAAAAAUGAGAAGAGGCAGCUUUGUGGUAGAAGUCGUUGCAUUGUCUGCUGCACACGGAGUAUUAUGAUCUGAGACAGGGCCGAGUUUCUACAGUGCAUAAAAUUAGAAAAACCCCGAGCCGGACAGAUAGCUCCGUGACUACAGGAAAGGUUUCCUGUCCAGAGAAGAGGGCCAAACCUACUGUUCCCAUAAACGAGCCCGAGAGUGCACACUCUGAUUUCCUUUCAGCGUCUGUAAACAUUCAGCCCAGUUCCCACGGGGAAAACACCAACCUUGACACCGGCACAAUGGUGGACAGCCACUCUUCCAGAACUGUACCAGUGUGCCAGACUCGGUUCUUUUCCCGGG
rnacentral:lncRNA from 1 species